rnacentral:tmRNA from 1 species
CAUCGCCCAUGUGCUCGAGUAAGGGUCCUAACUUUAGUGGGAUACGUUUCAACUUUCCGUCUGUAAGUUGAAAAAGAGAACAUCAGACUAGCGAUACAGAAUGCCUGUCACUCGGCAAGCUGUAAAGCGAAUCCUUAAAUGAGUUGACUAUGAACGUAGAUUUUUAAGUGGCGAUGUGUUUGGACGCGGGUUCGACUCCCGCCGUCUCCAUUG